rnacentral:misc_RNA from 1 species
GGCCCCCUGCCGGUGUGCAGCCUGACCGCACGGUCCAGCGGCCGCUUCACGGCGGGCGCAAAAGAGCGCCCUGCCUUUGGUGUUGGCUUGUGUGUUGACUACCCGCGUGCCGGGUAAAGAUGUUGGGGUUCGAUGGAGUUCUUGGCCAUUGCCUUGGUUUGUCCUGCCGGGCUGGCCGCUCGUGAGAAGGGGGCAAGCCGCGCUGCCGCGGCGCCGAGCCUUAGACAAGGCCGGGGUCGCGGAUUUGCGACGGCUGCCGCCUGUGGGUGCUUUCGGAUGCGGACGAUCGGAGCGUUCAUCGGGGUGCGCCCCUUUGUCGCCGGCCCAUCGUGGCCAUAUUUCGGAUGCGUUAACUCGGCGUGCCGGUGUGGUCUCGGCCCAUCUCCGCCGCCGCAGUCGGUGCCGCGCUACCUGGUUGAUCCUGCCAGUAGUCAUAUGCUUGUCUCAAAGAUUAAGCCAUGCAUGUGCAAGUAUGAACAAAUUCGGACUGUGAA